ACGCCUGCAGUCACGCGGCGUUGACGCGCGUCGCAACAUGGUUGCGUGGGUGUAGAUCGUUCGGUGAUAAACUAAUACUUGUUUUCUUUCUUAUCAACUUUACUACUAGUGUUUUCAUUCUAUAUAGCGUCUAUCAACACAUCGGAUACAACAGCGGAAUGUUUCAACUGAAUGUGUAGUGUUAUUCCUAUAGGAAAGUGUUGGGUCUGUGUGAGUGUUUUGUUAUUGCAGCGGCCGAUAGGGGCAGGAUUUUGGCGGUGCAUUAAAGGUAGCCCAGCAUGAGGAAAAUAAACGGUAAACAACGCUUGCAUUUCGAGAUCAGUGAUGACGGUAGUUUGUGUAAGUAGGUAAAUGGGUUCCGGACAAAGCGAACUACGUGUGUUAUCUUAACACAAAUCUGUUUAUCGAAUACAAUUGUUGACAUAUCGUUAUGAAAUGAUGUUUCAGGUUUCAAAUUUUAACUUUUAUUUAUAUUUUAUUAUUUUGGAAUGAAGGUUUUUAUCUUAUAAAUAUAUGUAACAAACACAUACCUUUUCUGUUAUUAAAGUAUGUAACUUAAUGUGAAGGAUAUUUAGGUACCAGCCCACUGAUAUACCUUAUGUUAUUUUUUUGAAAAAAAAUAUCACGUCGAGAUUCAAUCAUAUCUUUAUUAAAAUACUUUAAUGCAAUAUAGCAAGUUCAUGCAAUAGAUUCUUAAUGCUAAAAGAGCUUAAAUAUAUUCUUAUACAUUGU
rnacentral:misc_RNA from 1 species